rnacentral:rRNA from 1 species
AGAGUUUGAUCAUGGCUCAGGACGAACGCUGGCGGCGUGCUUAACACAUGCAAGUCGAACGCUGAAGCCCAGCUUGCUGGGUGGAUGAGUGGCGAACGGGUGAGUAACACGUGGGUAAUCUGCCCCGUACUCCGGGAUAAGCCCGGGAAACUGGGUCUAAUACCGGAUAGGACACGCUAUCGCAUGGUGGUGUGUGGAAAGCUCCGGCGGUACGGGAUGAGCCCGCGGCCUAUCAGCUUGUUGGUGGGGUGAUGGCCUACCAAGGCGACGACGGGUAGCCGGCCUGAGAGGGUGACCGGCCACACUGGGACUGAGACACGGCCCAGACUCCUACGGGAGGCAGCAGUGGGGAAUAUUGCACAAUGGGCGCAAGCCUGAUGCAGCGACGCCGCGUGGGGGAUGACGGCCUUCGGGUUGUAAACCCCUUUCGCCCGGGACGAAGCGUAAGUGACGGUACCGGGAGAAGAAGCACCGGCCAACUACGUGCCAGCAGCCGCGGUAAUACGUAGGGUGCAAGCGUUGUCCGGAAUUAUUGGGCGUAAAGAGCUCGUAGGCGGUGUGUCACGUCUGCCGUGAAAACCUGCGGCUUAACCGUGGGCGUGCGGUGGAUACGGGCAUCACUUGAGUUCGGUAGGGGAGACUGGAAUUCCUGGUGUAGCGGUGGAAUGCGCAGAUAUCAGGAGGAACACCGGUGGCGAAGGCGGGUCUCUGGGCCGAUACUGACGCUGAGGAGCGAAAGC